UCCAGACAGCAUCAGAGAGAUGCUGUUUCACUGUCCAGACAGCAUCAGAGAGAUGCUGUUUCACUGACCAGACAGCAUCAGAUACAUGGUCUACACAUACUGAGACAGAGAGAUGCUGUUUCACUGUCCAGACAGCAUCAGAGAGAUGCUGUUUCACUGUCCAGACAGCAUCAUAUACCUGGUAUACACAUACUGAGACAGAGAGAUGCUGUUUCACUGUCCAGACAGCAUCAGAGAGAUGCUGUUUCACUGUCCAGACAGCAUCAGAGAGAUGCUGUUUCACUGACCAGACAGCAUCAGAUACAUGGUCUACACAUACUGAGACAGAGAGAUGCUGUUUCACUGUCCAUUAAACUCUGUAACUGUUUUGAAGUCGCCAUCGGCCUCAUGGUGAAAUCCCUGAGGGGUUUCCUUCCUCUCCGUUAACUGAGUUAGGAGGGACGCCUCUAUCUUUGUAGUGACCGGGUGUAUUGAUACACCAUCCAAAGUGUAAUCAAUAACUUCACUAUGCUCAAAGGUUUGAUUCUGUGUUUGAAAUUCACUGCUCAACGUGAGGGACCUUCCAGAUAAUUGUAUGUGUGGGGUACAGAGAGGAGGGAGUCAUUCAACAAUGAUGUAAAACACUAUAUACACACAGUAUUAUUGAGACACACAGAGAGAGUCCAUGCAACUUAUUAUGUGACCUGUUCAGCACAUUUUUACCUCCUGAACUGAUUUAGACUGAACAUAACAAAGGGGUUUAAUAGUUAUCGACUCAAGACAUUUCCGCUUGUAAUUUUUAAUUGAUUUGUAAACACGUAAUUCCACUUUGUCGUUAUGGGGUAUUAGAUUAUAUUAUAUAUUAUAUUGGGGUAUUAGUGUGUCACUGGGCUCCACACAAUCAGCGUUUCAUCCAUUUAAAUUCAGGCUGC
rnacentral:lncRNA from 1 species